CAGGCCACAUGCUUUACAUCUGUGAAGUCUAUUGUUUGAUGGCCCUAGAGACUGCCCCAGCUUUUCUGUUUCUGCUGUCUGGUUUUGUUUUUGCACGUUAACACAAGGACUCCCGCGGUUUAAACACAGAGCCACUUGCUCUCGGCACCCUGAGCAAACCGGAACAGAGGUGGCAAAUUACUCCUGUAUCUCGCUUCUGUCCGUCUCAGAGCUAAAGAAGUGGGGUCACAACACACGUGCGACCUAGGAAAGAGGCUCUCAGGUUUCUCCUGGAUGAAGAUUUGCUGCUCUUUGGGAAAGAGCAACAUUUUUCCAAGCUCGCUUCUGACUAUAUCGGCAUUUAGGCAUGUAAUACAGUCUGCAACGGUCUAGGAAACGUCUGGAGACUUUCUUGUUGGCAGAUUCUUCUUCUGAUAUUUUGUGACUGAUCCUCAUCCUGAGUUAUGGUCCUGGAAUAAAGCCCUGCUUUCAUAGAGGUUCAAUGGUAUCUUGAAUACGUAAACCCUCUUAGAUCUAAGACCAGCCCAUCUACAACGAACUUUGAGUUCAUGGAGUCUUUAUUGAAGUUAUGAACUCUGAAAACUAAGAGGUUAAUAAUGCAAAGAUCACAUGCUUUACCAACCCAUUUUGCCAUUUCCUGGAGAUUAUGACCUGCACUGAGCAGACAGUGAUGAAUAAGACCAUGAAGAAACUGGAACCCUCCUAAACUGGCUGAUGAGAUUCUGGUUCGACCACCUUGAGAAACAGUCUGGCAGUCCCUUAAAUGAUUAAACACAGACAUUAUGCUCCUCCCGCAGGCUGUCUAUGAGGAAAUAGCUCAAGUCUGAGAGUAAACUCCUAUUGUUAGAGGUAUAUGAAAAGAAAAAUCAUAAAACAAUUUCUUUUAAAUCACCAAAGACUUAAACACCGAAGUUCCUUCUUCACUUACAGACUAUGAGUAUUUGAAAGUUAACGAUCAUUUUAUUUCACUUAAAAUAUUUCAAACAUGCUGCAGGCACAGGGGCAGGCCAGGAGGCUUGCUAAACAGUGCCUAGUGUUGGCUGUGGAGCCUGACUCCGCGUUUGAAUGCUGGUAUGUCCUUUACUUAGUCCCUUAACCUUUCUGUACCUCAUUUCCUCCUUCAUGAAGUGGAACAGCAACAGCACCGGCAGAGUGCCCAAAUCCCCCAAUAAAUAUAAAGUACUGCCUUAGUUAAAGCUUCUAUUGCUGUGCCGAGACAGCAUGACCAUAGCAACUCUUAUGAAGGAAAACAUUUCAUUGGGUCUGGCUUACAGUUUCAGAGGUUUAGUCUAUUAUCAUGGCGGAUGGCAAGCAGGCAGACAUGGUGCUGGAGAAGGAGCUGAGAGUUCUACAUCUUGAUCUGCAGGCAGCAGAAGUAAGCCUGUGUCACAACUGAGAACUGCUUGAACAAAGGAGUCCUGAAAGCCCACCCCCACAGUGACACACUUCCUCCAACAAGGCCACACCUCCUAAUAUGCCACUCCCUUUGGGGGCCAUUUUCUUUCAAACUACCACAAGCCCUUUCCCAAUAUUGCCCAGCACCCUGUCUAGUAACUUCUCUGCCUGGAUUUGCUAACUCUGCAUUCGGCCAAAAUCAGGAAAUCCUCACAUCUCACUAACGUGAGGUUACACCAGCUGUAAUUUGUUUCAGUAAAAGAACCCCAAAUGUUGGAGCCUUGGCAAGUUUCUUCAGCACUUUAUGGUGUAAUUGCCUCUUGGAGUAGAAUGACUGCUAUCAAUGCCACCCCAUUUCCUUCAGCCUAUAAAGUUUAAUCUUAAUAAAUAUGGCCUAAGACAGA